UGGGGAAUAUUGGACAAUGGGCGCAAGCCUGAUCCAGCCAUGCCGCGUGUGUGAAGAAGGCCUUAUGGUUGUAAAGCACUUUAAGCGAGGAGGAGGCUACUUUAGUUAAUACCUAGAGAUAGUGGACGUUACUCGCAGAAUAAGCACCGGCUAACUCUGUGCCAGCAGCCGCGGUAAUACAGAGGGUGCAAGCGUUAAUCGGAAUUACUGGGCGUAAAGCGCGCGUAGGUGGUUCGUUAAGUUGAAUGUGAAAGCCCCGGGCUCAACCUGGGAAAUGCAUCCAAAACUGGCGAGCUAGAGUAGGGCAGAGGGUGGUGGAAUUUCCUGUGUAGCGGUGAAAUGCGUAGAUAUAGGAAGGAACACCAGUGGCGAAGGCGACCACCUGGGCUCAUACUGACACUGAGGUGCGAAAGCGUGGGGAGCAAACAGG
rnacentral:rRNA from 1 species